AACCAGAGAGCAAGGAAAAAGCGAUAGAGAAGAAAAUUGUGCUAAAGAAGAGAGGGGACAUAAAAAUAGUUUUCAUAUGGAAGAUUGAGAGACUGUUGUACUUUUAGUUUUCUCAUAUUUCUGUUUUUGUUUUUGUUUUUCUUCUGAAAGAUUAAACCAAAGUAGGAAACCAGUUGAAUGCGAGGAAGAUGUUAGUUGAGCUGCAGUGCUGGGGUUUGUGUUUUUCGAACAUAUAAGGCUCUUCCUGGACUUCAAGGAAAUUAUAUUUCCACCUUUUCCAUCUAAAGCACUUCCAUCACAGUCAAGCCCACAGACCAAAGCACUCAAACAACUUGGGUUCCUGGAGUUAUUGUAUGCACUGGAGUUUUAUCUCCAGCAGGUGGCAGCACACCCAACUCUCUGCAAGUGCAACAGCUUCCUUAUUAACUCUGAAAUUAUUUUAAACUCACACACACACACACACAUUAAUUCAAAUUCUGAAUCACAGCCUUUUGUAUGAUUGCUCUAAAUAAAAUACAAGAGCAGUAAAUACAUUCAGGUCAAAUUAAUGCAACUAACCAGGCUAACCUGUUGGAAAAUUCAGCUAAAGGCCAACUGAAGGUAGCAGAUGGUAGCCGGUUUCUAGCUGGUCAUUGCAUGAGCCGAGGUUGUUUAGGUGGUUGACCAACUGGUUUAUGAGAUGGCAGAUGGAGACCUGGCUAACAUGGUUGCCAAUCUUGGACCAGCAACAAAUAUCAAAAUAUAGCUACUAUAUCCCAAAAAGAAGUUUGACCAUGCACCCUUAAGCUGAUAUGAGCUGAUUUGUAUUUCAGCAGUGUUUGUGACCAGUUUGUUUUGUACUGUAUUUGUUCAGGAAAAAAAGCUGUCACUGGCAUGGAACUCUUUCAAAAGGUACUAAUAUGCAGUUAUAAUAGUGGUAAAUAAAUUAUGGAAGUGUGAUGGUGUAUGAAGAUUUUAACUGGACUCUCCAGCAUGGAGACACACUUUGCUUGAAAAGCCUUCUCUUUAUAUUGUUUGUUAAUUUUAAUUUAAAACCAAUGACUGUUAUUACACUGCAUACUUCUGAAGUGAAAUCAUAAAUUGGGGCUGCACAAUUAACACAAUUAAAUUUCUAAUAGCGAAUAUAAAUAUAGCAAUUAAACAUUCAAAGCCCUUUAUGCUAUUCUGCGUGCUUAAGAUAUGUUUUUUAUUUUCUAUCUACGUUAUCUUAAGGGGUUUUACUAUUAUUUUAAUUAUAGGUUUAGUAUAACAUUAUAAUGCCAUUGAUAUUGUUAUCUUUUAUAUUAAAUGUUUUCAGCUGGUUUAUUUUCAUAUAAAAUUGUGGCAUGCUGUUGCAUCAAAAAAUGGUAUAAAAAUAUUUCAAUGUAAAUUGUGAUAACUGUAAUUAAUAAUC